UUUAGAUUAUCUUAUAACAUUUAGAUAUUUGUGAAAUAUAAGCGUUAUAUCAACAUUUGUUAUCCUUAAAACAGCACUAAUCCGAAAUGAAAAAGAAGUUCCAUCCAUCAAUCAGAGAACAGACAAGCCAAAACCCAACACCAAAGUGAGAAGAAUCUCUGAAAAGCAUAUGACUCCCUUUUCUUUCUUCACCACUUGCUUUGAUGGCACCAUGCUCAUGCCACAGCAAAAAGCAAAUUUUGAUAAAAUUCUUCCCCUUCCAAAAACUAUCAUUGAAACGUAAGAGGGAGAAACAGGGGGAGCCAGCUUUGAAUGUGCAGAAGAGCGAAGUUAUACAAAAUCCUUUCACUUGCUUCUCUUUUGGCAUUUAUUGCAUAUUUUUGGAGAUAAAAUUAUCUCUUUGAUGUACUUACUGUGUUAUCCUUCUUUUUGAUAUCUAAACGUGCAAGUCAUCACUUUUU